rnacentral:rRNA from 1 species
AAGUAAAAGUCGUAACAAGGUUUCCGUAGGUGAACCUGCGGAAGGAUCAUUAUCGAGUGUUCUGAACGGGUUGUCGCUGGCCUUUCACGAGGCAUGUGCACGCCUGGCUCAUCCACUCUCAACCUCUGUGCACUCUAUGUAAGAAAUGGUGGACGUGCUGGCUGUUUGAGCUGGCAAGGAAGCCUUUUCUUAUGUUUUAUUACAAAUGCUUCAGUUAUAGAAUGUUUACUGUGUAUAACACAAUAUAUACAACUUUCAGCAACGGAUCUCUUGGCUCUCGCAUCGAUGAAGAACGCAGCGAAAUGCGAUAAGUAAUGUGAAUUGCAGAAUUCAGUGAAUCAUCGAAUCUUUGAACGCACCUUGCGCUCCUUGGUAUUCCGAGGAGCAUGCCUGUUUGAGUGUCAUGGAAUUCUCAACUCCCUAUUUUGAUUAAUGGGCGAGCUUGGACUUGGAGGUCAUGUUGGCUCUUGUAGUCGACUCCUCUUAAAUGUAUUAGCGUGAAUCUUACGGAUCGCCUUCAGUGUGAUAAUUAUCUGCGCUGUGGCGUGAAGUAUUUCAUAGUUCGUGCUUACAAUCGUCUCUUGCGAGACAACUUUGACAAUCUGACCUCAAAUCAGGUAGGACUACCCGCUGAACUUAA